rnacentral:rRNA from 1 species
UACGGAGGGGGCUAGCGUUGUUCGGAAUUACUGGGCGUAAAGCGCACGUAGGCGGCUUUGUAAGUUAGAGGUGAAAGCCCAGGGCUUAACCCUGGAAUUGCCUUUAAGACUGCAUCGCUAGAAUCGUGGAGAGGUGAGUGGAAUUCCGAGUGUAGAGGUGAAAUUCGAUAGAUAUUCGGAAGAACACCAGUGGCGAAGGCGACUCACUGGACACGUAUUGACGCUGAGGUGCGAAAGCGUGGGAGCAACAGG